rnacentral:rRNA from 1 species
GCGGUGGAGCAUGUGGUUUAAUUCGACGCAACGCGAAGAACCUUACCGAGGGCUUGACACUCCCCUCGACCGCGUAUGAAAGUACGUUUUCACCCUCGGGUGACAGGGAGGACAGGUGGUGCAUGGUUGUCGUCAGCUCGUGUCGUGAGAUGUUGGGUUAAGUCCCGCAACGAGCGCAACCCUUGUCCUUAGUUGCCAGCAUUCAGUUGGGCACUCUAAGGAGACUGCCGGUGUCAAACCGGAGGAAGGUGGGGAUGACGUCAAGUCCUCAUGGCCCUUAUGUCCAGGGCUACACACGUGCUACAAUGGCCGGUACAAAGGGGCGCAAGACCGCGAGGUGGAGCAAAUCCCAAAAAACCGGUCUCAGUUCGGAUUGGAGUCUGCAACUCGACUCCAUGAAGUUGGAAUCGCUAGUAAUCGCGUAUCAGCAUGACGCGGUGAAUACGUUCCCGGGCCUU